GACGGAGGAUGCAAGUGUUAUCCGGAAUCACUGGGCGUAAAGCGUCUGUAGGUGGUUUCAAAAGUCCACUGUUAAAGAUUGAAGCUUAACUUCAAAAAUGCCGUGGAAACUUUGAAACUUGAGUAUGAUAGGGGUAGAGGGAAUUUCCAGUGGAGCGGUGAAAUGCGUAGAUAUUGGAAAGAACACCAACGCGAAAGCACUCUGCUGGGCCGACACUGACACUGAGAGACGAAAGCUAGGGGAGCGAAUGGGAUUAGAACCUACCGGACGAGUC
rnacentral:rRNA from 1 species